GACGAACGCUGGCGGCGUGCUUAACACAUGCAAGUCGAACGGAAAGGCCCUGCUUUUGUGGGGUGCUCGAGUGGCGAACGGGUGAGUAACACGUGAGUAACCUGCCCUUGACUUUGGGAUAACUUCAGGAAACUGGGGCUAAUACCGGAUAGGAGCUCCUGCUGCAUGGUGGGGGUUGGAAAGUUUCGGCGGUUGGGGAUGGACUCGCGGCUUAUCAGCUUGUUGGUGGGGUAGUGGCUUACCAAGGCUUUGACGGGUAGCCGGCCUGAGAGGGUGACCGGCCACAUUGGGACUGAGAUACGGCACAGACUCCUACGGGAGGCAGCAGUGGGGAAUAUUGCACAAUGGGCGGAAGCCUGAUGCAGCAAUGCCGCGUGCGGGAUGACGGCCUUCGGGUUGUAAACCGCUUUCGCCUGUGACGAAGCGUGAGUGACGGUAAUGGGUAAAGAAGCACCGGCUAACUACGUG
rnacentral:rRNA from 1 species